GUGCUCCCUUCAACAGCACAUAUACUAAAAUUGGAAUGAUACAAAGAUUAGCAUGGCUCCUGUGUGAGGAUGACAUGCAAAUUUGUGAAACAUUCCAUAUUUUU
rnacentral:snRNA from 1 species